rnacentral:lncRNA from 1 species
AAAAGUCUACUUGUACGUUAAGACAAAUUUUUUUUUUUGAAUACUGAUUAAUCAUCAGAUUAUUGCAUUACACAGAUAUUUACAACAACUGCUAUUGUAACAGAGAUAUUAUACUGAUAUUUACAAUCAGAUAUACAUAAUUGAGACUUAUAUUAUGACAUUGAAUUCUAUGAAGUACAUGCCCAAACAAAUAACCCCUCACAGGAGAGGGAUGUCCAUACUCCACUCGCAUUUCACAAGGGAGAAUGAUUUUAUUGGAAGUAUAAAGAACAUUUAGCCCCCACAAUGCUUUUGUGGGGGCUAGAACCGCUGCCCUCACAAUGCUUGUGAGGGCAGCAGCCCACCACUUCGGCCAAGGCCG